rnacentral:RNase_P_RNA from 1 species
AAAACGGAAGUGGCAAUCGCUGGUUUCAUUUGAAAUCAGAGGAAAGUCCGAACACUGUGGGCGGCGAACCGGUUAAUGACCGGGCGUGUCGUCAAAUUUGACGAUGCGACGACAAGUGCAACAGAGAAAAGACCAGCCAGCAAAUCGUGGAUUCGGCGAAAGCCGAUUUCAAAAUGUGAUGGCGGUGAUGGGUGAAACGGUGCGGUCGUCAAGUAAACGUGACGACUUAAAGUAAAAGCGCACCGGCGCGUUUGGCAACAGGCGCGGCUAGGUAAACUCUUCGCGGUGCAAAACCAAAAAGGAAAACGCAAACGGUAUGCCCAACCGAGCUUUUCCGGCGAAAGCCAGUGAAAAAUGCGUUUUCGGGUCGGUUGCUAAAUUUUUUUGGUGACAAAAGAAUUAGAUGAAUGAUUGCCGCCUUCGCCCAAAAAGCGAGGGAACAAAACUCGGCUUAUUAUUCCGUUUACAAU